AGGUAGGGAUACCCGCUGAACUUAAGCAUAUCAAUAAGCGGAGGAAAAGAAACCAACAGGGAUUGCCCCAGUAACGGCGAGUGAAGCGGCAGAAGCUCAGAUUUGAAAUCUGGUGNUAUAUUAACAUCCGAGUUGUAAUCUGUAGAGGAGUUUUUUUUGAGUAUUACUUUGGUUAAAGUUCCUUGGGAAAGGGCAUCACAGAGGGUGAGAAUCCUGUUUAUGACCAUAGUAUUUCUCAUAUAUAAAUCUCCUUCAAUGAGUCGAGUUGUUUGGGAAUGCAGCUCUAAAGGGGUGGUAAAUUCCAUCUAAAGCUAAAUAUUGGCAAGAGACCGAUAGCGCACAAGUAGAGUGAUCGAAAGAUGAAAAGAACUCUGAACAGAGAGUUAAAGAGUACGUGAAAUUGUUGAAAGGGAAGCACUUGUGACCAGACAAAAUUGCAAUUAAUCAGCCAUCAGUCUUGGUGGUGCACUUGAUUGUAAAUGGGUUAGCAUCAGUUAUAGCAGCAGGACAAAAAUCAAUGGAAUGUAGCUCCUC
rnacentral:rRNA from 1 species